CUGAAUUAAUGGAAGGCUGUAGCUGACUCCUUGGAGUAUGUGCACGCCUUUCGAAUUCAUCUUAAACCACCUGUGCACUUCUGUAGACUGUGAUAACUCUCAGCGGUAAAACGCUGGAAAGUGAGACUGCUCUUAAACGGCGCUGUCUUUCAAUUUCAUAGUCUACGUUUUAUACAUAUACUAAAGUCCUAGAAUGUUGAUGUAUGGGUCUUUUGUUGGCCUAUAAAACUUAAUA
rnacentral:misc_RNA from 1 species